AAGAGGGUUCUUUGCAUGUUAUGGGAGAAUUUCCUAACCACUAAACUGGGGUUACUCUGAGAGAGGUCUCCCUCAGUGAGUCUUAGUAAAGCUGUUCUGCUGUGUAGAUAGUCAUUGGAUAAUGGAGAGUAGGCCCUUCCUUCUAACUCAGGUGUGGGUGCCCUGAACAUCGGGCUGAAAAGUCAUUGGGCUAGAGAGUAUCUUACAUUCAAACAGUUUCAGGCAUGCUGGGUGGAGAGUGCCCUUCUCCCCUGUAGAGCAGUGGGGCUUAGGUAGGAUCCACGUGUUCAGACACCUAGUGAUGCUGCAGUGCAUAUGCUUAGAGCCAGAAAGUUAGGUGCCUAAGAAAUUUUUGCAGCACAAAUUUAGGUGUCAAGUGAUGUUAGGCACUAGCUGAGCAGGGGUUUUGUGGAUUCCAGUGGGGCCUAAAUCUGAUGUUUAGGUACUUUGCUAUCUUUGGGCAUCUGAUCCUUCAGUGCCUAGCACAAAGCUUGAUGAUGGGGCUUUGUGUUGGGAAAAAUGUUGUCCUCAGACGUUAUCCAUUAAAGUGAUACAUUCCCAGAGUGAAGGUGGAAACUUAGAAAUGGAUUUGGUAGAGUCUAGGUAGAAAUAACACUGAGUAAGAAGCAAAUGGAAAUAAGACAUUGCAUCAAAUGCCAAUGGCCUUUGUUUUCCUCAAUUGGUCUGUGGCAGACUGCCUGUUCCAUUCUUUAGUCUAGUUAAGCUAUUCCAUUCUUUAGUCCAGCAGUUUUUGAAGCUUGGGGCUAAGGCCAAAAUCAUUUUCACCCCCUUCCCACCUCAGAAAAGUCACUGGGCAACUCCUGGGACCUACAGCAGGAAAGUCACACUCAUGCAGGGGUGAGAAUUUCAUUUUCCAUUAUGGGCCAUGCGCUGGAAUAUAAAUUUGCUAUAUACUCCCUUUAACUCCAAAGCAGUAUUUCUGUUGAUGUUAGGGGGAGGUUUGCAGAGAGAUAAACUACACCAAAAAAAGGCCCUUAUGUAAUUAAACUUACUUACCCUGAUCUGUACAGUACUUCAUUGCUGUACUCGACAUUAAACAAAACUUACUGUUAGAACAAAUGCUUUUUCUGCCAUUUGUUUCUCUUCCUUCCCUAUCUUCCCCCCUCUGCAUUUUCUUCCUUUCCUACCCCUUAAAAUUAAAUACUGCAUUAAAGUGUCAUCAGGGGGCUUUUUGAGCUAGUUCAUCUGGACUAAUUGGGGCAUGGAAUCCACCCUUUUAAAGGUAUGCUGCAUGUCUGAACUAUACACAUCUUAUGGCAGCAUGUGAACUAGCAUAAUUAGGAGUGUAGAUAGUGAGGCACUGCUUAGGGGAGUGAAGAUGCACCUGAAUACUGUAGGUAUGUGGCUUGCAUAGCCAAUCAGUACUUCACCUGCCUGCACACUGUUAGCAUAGUAUCCUGCUGCCAGAGCCUUUUCCCUGCUACAGUGAAAGGCAUUGGCAAAACAGAGCCUCUCACAGAUCCCUGCUGCCAGAACUUCUCAGAGAGAGUAGCUACAUCUGCAGUAUGGAUGCAGCUUUUCUCUGCAUCGUGUAUCUCGACAUAUUCUACAUGCUGCCACAAUAUAUGGAGUGUAGCCAUAGCCUACGAGCCAUCAUUUCAGGCUGCCUGCAAGCUCAGGAAGACAACAUUGUGUUGAUGUAGCGAUUUCAUAUUUGGGAAGUUUUCUUUGCAACCAGGAGAGGUAUAACCAGUUUAAAAAAACCCCCAAAACUUAGUUUCUGCAGAAUUUGAAUGUCAGGUGUGCUGAGUGUAACUUCCCAUAGGUAAGGGAUGAAAGAGCUUACUAGUCCUUAAGGUGCCACAAGUACUCCUUUUCUUUUUGCAAAUACAGACUAACACAGCUGCUACUCUGAAACCUACAUUUUCCUGCAGUUCUUCCCUUCCUCUGAUGUCUCUCUCCUACAACUGCUCAACACCAAGUGAAAUAUGGAGACAAUAAGCCUGUAGAACUCGGGCAGCUCUGCAAUUUAUUUACUUGUGAGCUGCAAGGGACUGGGGAGGACUGAUAUGCUGCAGCAGGAGUGAGUCCUCUCCCUUCUGAUAAUCCUCUGCAGCACUUCCACAUGUCCUCUACCUUGCAUUGCCUUCCCACUCCCAUCUUCAGUAUACCCAUCACCUAUAGGGCUGUUUCUGACUGUAACCUCAGUCUUUUAGUCAGAGCAACAAUCAGUGCUGGUUUUGUGAUUCUAGAUGGAGGAUAGUUGAGGUUAAGUCAUUCUAGCUCUGGAAGGAGGCUAACAGGACCGGAAUAUGAUAACUAUUCAGCUUCUAACUGAAUAAAGGGUGAAAGUUUGGGGAAUUCAAAAUAAAUCUUUUGCUUAUCUUGUAAGAUUCCUAAAGAGGGAGAAAGCAGCUGAAAUAUAUGUAAUAUGUUAAAUGAAUUUAAUUGUCAUAUUAACGCAAGAUAAUUCUCACCAAUUUUAGCUGCUUCCUGGUUUCUGUACUAGAGUGAGUGACAUCACAAGUACCAGAAACAAAAUUUUGAAGGAAACAUUCCAUCCUUAAACCCCAUUUUCUUCAUUUGCUUUAAUUUGUAAGAUCACUCCAGGAGAUAAAUUAAGAACUCCUGCUCUUUGCAUUCUAUAGGAAAGGGGUGUAAUUUUGUUAAAAGACAGAGCAAUACAAGUUUGUAAAUAACUAUAUUUUACUCUAAUCAAACAUGCACAAUUAACUUUUUUAAAAAUACAAGUUUUGCUAAUAAAGCAAUUUACAUUUAAAACAAUUGUUACUGCCAGUAUGCUUUGUCUGCUGUAUCCUAAACUGCAUUUCUUUUAUGUGGUCUGGUUUGAAUCUGACUCUUCUAUUUGGGGAAAUACUAUCUUCAAUUCCAAAGAACAGAAUGAAGAAACAUUAACUGUUAAAUUGUUGGUCUGACACUGAGGGGACAUUGGUUAGAAAGAACUAAUGCUUCCUAUUGCACACAUCCUUCACAUAAGCUAAGGGCAGACUAGACACUAAACAUUUAGUGGGCAAGAUCAAGUUAACCCAUGAGAAUAUAAAAUUUUAAAAUGGUAAUACUAUAGCAGAUACUCACCAUGAUAAGUUUAAUUGCAAAAAUCCUUUUAUGGGGAGCCAUGCCUGGAUUCUUAAGAGUUAAAUGGAGGUGCUUCUGACAAAAAAGUAGAUUCUCCUGUAAGUUCUGAUGGUAGUGAAAAUACUGAAAAGGGCUACAAAAGAGGCAAAAAAAUUGUGUUCAGGUAUCCUGUCCAAGAAAGUUUUGAAAUCUAUUUAAAUUUCUGCAUUUAACAACUUAUUAUUGAUCUGGAAUUGACCUAUAUCAACCUAAUGACCUGAUCCAACUCCUAAUAGAAAUCAUUUGGGCCUUGAGCCUCUUUAUUUCUGGUUUAUGUUUUAUAAAGUACAUGCUUAUUUGAUAGCUGAUAAGGAGGGCAUUCAUUAUGGUGUAAACUAGCAUUGUGUUUCCCCUGUUUUCUAUCUAGAUGUAAAACCAUAGCUCAGAAUGGGAAUCCUAAGGUCACUUCUUAACUUUCAUGUGCCACAAGUACUCCUGUUCUUUUUGCAGAUACAGACUAACAUGGCUGCUAUUUGAAAAAUAACAAAGUACAUAACACUUACAUACAACUGCAAAUGUACAGCUUUAAAAAUAAGGGCCAAAUUCUGCCACCCUGAUGCACAUUGAGUAGUGCCGUACAUCAUGAAUAGUCCCAUGGAUUGCAGUGACACUAAUUCCAGAGGAAGGUUCUUCUCAACAUGAGGAGUUACAUACAGUAAGAUGUUCGCUACUCAGAAGCGUUUACAGUCCUUUGGGUCAAUGGAAGAUUUGCUGUGAUUGAAUUUUAACUUCAAUAUACUUUGUAAAGUAAGCCUAGCUAAACUAGGAAAGUUGUAUGAAGUCACUGAAUAUGUUUUCUGAUUAAUAUCUGCAUGCAAUAUGGAGAGCAACAAAACCACCAAUAAAGAGCAACUGGCAUUUCUUCGAGUGGCUUUGCAUAUUCCCAUUUCUGGGUAAUGCACCGCCUGGUGCAGUCAUCUCAAAGAACUUGGGUUACAAGUAAGUAACACUCAUUUUCUUUCAAGUUUUGUAUCUAAUAGUUCCAGAACCCAACAUUUAAAUAAAAUAAAUUCCUUUAAAAAAAUACAACUUUAUCACUUCA